GAGGGUAUAGCUCAAGUGGUAGAGUGCGUGCUUAGCAUGCACAAGGUCCUGGGUUCAAUCCCCAGUGCCUCCU
rfam:Camelus ferus unplaced genomic scaffold scaffold1221, whole genome shotgun sequence.